rnacentral:rRNA from 1 species
CCAGCAGCCGCGGUAAUUCCAGCUCCAAUAGCGUAUACUAAAGUUGUUGCAGUUAAAAAGCUCGUAGUUGAAUUUCUGGUCGUGGCAGUCGGUCCGCCCCUCACGGGGUGUGUACCUGGCUUCUGCGGCCAUCCUCGCGGAGAGCGCGUCUGUCGUUAACUCGUCGGGCGCGGGAUCCGCGUCAUUUACUGUGAGCAAAAUAGGGUGUUCAAAGCAGGCUUAGGCCGUUGAAUACAUUAGCAUGGAAUAAUAAGAUAGGACCUUGGUCUAUUUUGUUGGUUUGUACUCCAAGGUAAUGAUUAAUAGGGAUAGUUGGGGGUAUUCGUAUUCAAUUGUCAGAGGUGAAAUUCUUGGAUUUAUGGAAGACGAACUACUGCGAAAGCAUUUACCAAGGAUGUUUUCAUUAAUCAAGAACGAAAGU